rnacentral:rRNA from 1 species
AGUGAACGCUGGCGGUAGGCCUAACACAUGCAAGUCGAACGGCAGCACAGUAAGAGCUUGCUCUUACGGGUGGCGAGUGGCGGACGGGUGAGGAAUACAUCGGAAUCUACUUUUUCGUGGGGGAUAACGUAGGGAAACUUACGCUAAUACCGCAUACGACCUACGGGUGAAAGCAGGGGAUCUUCGGACCUUGCGCGAUUGAAUGAGCCGAUGUCGGAUUAGCUAGUUGGCGGGGUAAAGGCCCACCAAGGCGACGAUCCGUAGCUGGUCUGAGAGGAUGAACCGCCACACUGGAACUGAGACCAGGGCCAGACUCCUAAGGGAGGGAGGAGUGGGGAAUAUUGGACAAAUGGGGCAAGCCUGAUCCAGCCAUACCGGGUGGGGGAAGAAGGGCUUCGGGUUUGUAAGCCCUUUUGUUGGGAAAGAAAAGCAGCAGGUUAAUACCCCGCUGUUCUGACGGUACCCAAAGAAUAAGCACCGGCUAACUUCGUG